GAUGAACGCUGGCGGCGUGCCUAAUACAUGCAAGUCGAGCGAACAGACGAGGAGCUUGCUCCUCUGACGUUAGCGGCGGACGGGUGAGUAACACGUGGAUAACCUACCUAUAAGACUGGGAUAACUUCGGGAAACCGGAGCUAAUACCGGAUAAUAUAUUGAACCGCAUGGUUCAAUAGUGAAAGACGGUUUUGCUGUCCCUUAUAGAUGGAUCCGCGCCGCAUUAGCUAGUUGGUAAGGUAACGGCUUACCAAGGCAACGAUGCGUAGCCGACCUGAGAGGGUGAUCGGCCACACUGGAACUGAGACACGGUCCAGACUCCUACGGGAGGCAGCAGUAGGGAAUCUUCCGCAAUGGGCGAAAGCCUGACGGAGCAACGCCGCGUGAGUGAUGAAGGUCUUCGGAUCGUAAAACUCUGUUAUUAGGGAAGAACAAAUGAGUAAGUAACUAUGCACGUCUUGACGGUACCUAAUCAGAAAGCCACGGCUAACUACGUG
rnacentral:rRNA from 1 species